UACGAAGGGGGCUAGCGUUGUUCGGAAUUACUGGGCGUAAAGCGUGCGCAGGCGGCUUCUCAAGUCAGGGGUGAAAGCCCAGAGCUCAACUCUGGAAUUGCCUUUGAGACUGAGUGGCUUGAGUACGAGAGAGGUGAGUGGAAUUCCCAGUGUAGAGGUAGAAAUUCGUAGGAUAUUGGGAAGAACACCGGUGGCGAAGGCGGCUCACUGGACCAUUACUGAC
rnacentral:rRNA from 1 species